CACCAGAUGGCCCAAAGAACACCUCAGUGUCAGUCAGUCCCUCUGGUGGAAUAGUGGAGGGCAGUUCAGUGACUCUGACCUGUAGCAGUGAUGCCAACCCACCUGUGGACAAAUACACCUGGUACAAGAAGAAAGUAACCUCAGCAUAAGCAUCAGGACAGAGUUACAGCAUCACUAACAUCAUCUCUGAGGACAGAGGAGAAUAUUACUGUGAGGCUGAAAAUAAAUAUGGACGUCUCAACUCUUCUUCUGUGUCUGUGGACGUUCAGUGUAAGUUCACCUAAUCUUCAUCUAUUCAUUGAUAAUCACACAGGUCAACAACAAUAAAUAAUACUAAGCAAUGUGAGACACUUAUCCUACCGUAUGACAUAGAAUUAAAUAAAUAUUGUUCUUCCCUGGUUUCCCCUAUAUCUCCACCUUGCAUUUAUUACCUCAUGAUAUGACAGCAGUGUUUCCCUGGUUUCCUCUGUGUCAUAUCUCCACCUUGCAUUUAUAACCUCAUGAUAUGACAGCAGUGUUUCCCUGGUUUCCUCUGUCAUAUCUCCACCUUGCAUUUAUUACCUCAUGAUAUGACAGCAGUGUUUCCCUGGUUUCCUCUGUCAUAUCUCCACCUUGCAUUUAUUACCUCAUGAUAUGACAGCAGUGUUUCCCUGGUUUCCUCUGUCAUAUCUCCACCUUGCAUUUAUUACCUCAUGAUAUGACAGCAGUGUUUCCCUGGUUUCCUCUGUGUCAUAUCUCAGAGCUGCCCUGACUGUUGGAGCUCUUCUAGUCACCAUCUACUGCUAUAUUAAGAGGAGACACACAGGAGGAAGUGAUGCCACAUCAGACACACAGAUCCUGGAGAAAAAAAAAUGUCAUUUUAAUCCAUAGAGACGUGAAGGAGAAGCACGUCGGAUGUUGAUCUCUUCUCGGCUGGGUCCUCAUUUGGGACCAAAGUUCCUUGUUGUUAAGAGACUCUCACAGACUCUGCAGACGCUAACUACAGAGGCCAACAGUGACAUGUACACAGCUCUGAACAUGAAAACCAGGCCACCAGAGUAUGACACCCUGGCAAAUGUGAGGGGACUCCCCAGUGACACAGCCCCUCAAAUAGAUCCUUAGCUCUCCAUUUAUGAGAAAUGAAGAGAACCACCACAGAACCUAGACUGAAGAGAAGCACCACAGAACCUGGACUGAAGAGAAGCACCACAGAACCUAGACUGAAGAGAACCACCACAGAACCUAGACUGAAGAGAACCACCACAGAACCUGGACUGAAGAGAACCAUCACAGAACCUGGACUGAAGAGAACCAUCACAGAACCUGGACUGAAGAGCAACAGCAUCAAACCAAAGCUAGGCCUCAUAAUGUUAUUCUCUUUCUAUCAUGUUGCUUUUUAAUCCAGAAGGUUUGAGACAAUGAGCUUUAACUUUUGAGUAAAUGCUGGAAUUUAGAUUAUUCUCCUAAUGAUAUACAGUAUGUGUACUAUCGUUCAAAAGUUUGGGGUCACUUAAAAUGUCCUUGCAUUUUUUUUUGUCCAUUAAAAUAUAAUCAAAUUGAUCAGAAAUGCAGUGUAGACAUUGUUAAUGUUUUAAAUGACUAUUGUAGCUGAAAAUGGCAGAUUUGUUUGUGGAAUAUCUACACAGGCGUACAGAGGCCCAUUAUCAGCAACUAUCACUCCUGUGUUCCAAUGGCACACUGUGUUAGCUAAUCCAAGUUUAUCAUUUUAAAAUGCUAAUUGAUCAUUCGAAAAUCAUAUUGCAAUUAUAUUAGCACAGCUGAAAAUGGUUGUGCUUGCUGAUUUAAAAGAGGCAAUAAAACGGGCCUUCUUUAGAUUAGUUGAGUAUCUGGAGCAUCAGCAUUUGUGGGUUCGAUUACAGGCUCAAUGUUGCAAUUUAUCUAUUACAGACACUCAGUUUUCAACUUAUCUGUUUUCUAUCUAUUGAUUGUAUUGGUUUUUUUCUAUGGGAUUUUGCCAAUUCCAGAUUUUUACAACAUAUAAAGUUAUGUCUUGUCUUAGUGACACAAAAAUGAAUUAUAUUGACAAGAGAUUUUAAAUAUUUGUAUCUCUGGAGUUGUUCCUGAUGUGUUAAAAUAUGUUUUACUUUGUAUUGCUGUCAGUCAUUACUGGUCAUUUUAUAUUUUAUAUUAUGUAAUACCAUAUUGUUCAGUGUCAUGAUAUUCCUUGUUUUAUUAUCACAUUAUUCAUUAUUAUGUAUUUUAGACACAUUGAAUACAGUAUAAGCAUUAUGUUGAAAAUAAGCUCAAAUGUAAACAAUAAAAAUACAAAUAAAUUGAAUAUUUUGUU